GAGAGAGAGAGAGAGAGAAUAUCAGAAACUCAGAAGCAGUGUCAUUAGAUGAGAAGAUGAAGAACUGUUUUCAAUGAGAGAAGGAGCGUGUAGAAGAAGUGGAUGGAGAAGUGGUUUUAUUUAUCGGACUUGAAAAAGCAAUUUGAACAGGAUUACAUCGUAGAGGAGAAGGCAAAAACCAAAUAUGGGAUUGAGUCCAAGAAAAUUAAAGAAUUUUUUGUGGAAUAAAAAUAUGCAUUUCUUUCUAUU
rnacentral:misc_RNA from 1 species